ACACUGGCAGGGAGCUACUGUGUUAAAGAGGCUGUUUCAACGAAGGCUGCUCACCCAUUGCACUGUGGCUUGUGCUGAGACCCUGCGAAUUUUCCCAAUGGGAAAUCUUCGAUUGCAUAGUAUGGUAGUGGGGGGACUGCGUUCGCGCUCUCCCCCU